rnacentral:snoRNA from 1 species
ACUGAUCAUGUCUCAUUGUUGGAAACGCCUCAUAGAAUAAAUAUGUUGUUUCCUUUAUUCACAGAACUGUGUGUUAGAUCUGUGGGAAGGAAUUACAAGACAGCU